CUAAACUUCACUUUUAUAUGCCUAUGAAAUUGGAACUAUAUGGAGAUUAGCGUGACCUCUGUGCAAGGAUGACAUGCAAAUUCGUCAAUCAUUCCAUAGUUUU
ensembl:snRNA U6 U6 spliceosomal RNA